CAAGUCGAACGAGGAAGUACCUUCGGGUAUUGUACUAGUGGCGUACGGGUGAGUAACGCGUGGAUAAUCUUCCUCUAGGUGGGGAAUAACCAGUCGAAAGACUGGCUAAUACCGCAUAAGUCCACAAUGCCUUCGGGUGAAGGGGUUAAAGGCGAAAGUCGCCUGGAGAUGAGUGUGCGCCCGAUUAGCUAGUUGGUGAGGUAAAAGCUCACCAAGGCUACGAUCGGUAGCUGGUCUGAGAGGACGGCCAGCCACACUGGGACUGAGACACGGCCCAGACUCCUACGGGAGGCAGCAGUAGGGAAUAUUGCACAAUGGAGGAAACUCUGAUGCAGCGACGCCGCGUGAGUGACGAAGGCCUUCGGGUUGUAAAGCUCUGUUCUCAGGGAAAAAGAAAGUGAUUGUACCUGAGGAGAAAGGACCGGCUAACUUCGUGCCAGCAGCCGCGGUAAGACGAGGGGUCCAAGCGUUGUUCGGAAUCAUUGGGCGUAAAGCGGGUGUAGGCGGCUCUAUAAGUCAGGAGUGAAAGCCCCGAGCUUAACUCGGGAAGUGCUUUUGAUACUGCAGAGCUUGAAUGUGGGAGAGGGUAGUGGAAUUCCAGGUGUAGUGGUGAAAUACGUAGAUGUCUGGAGGAACACCGGUGGCGAAGGCGGCUACCUGGCCCAACAUUGACGCUGAGACCCGAAAGCGUGGGGAUCAAACAGGAUUAGAUACCCUGGUAGUCCACGCCAUAAACGAUGGACACUUGGUGUUGGAGGUAUUGACCCCUUCAGUGCCGAAGCUAACGCGUUAAGUGUCCCGCCUGGGGAGUACGGCCGCAGGGUUAAACUCAAAGAAAUUGACGGGGGCCCGCACAAGCGGUGGAGCAUGUGGUUUAAUUCGAUGCACCGCGAAAACCUUACCCGGGUUUGACAUGAUUUG
rnacentral:rRNA from 1 species